AGGCCACUGCUAUCAGAGUUCGAUUAAGCCAUGCGAGUUGAGAGGUGCAAGACCUCGGCAUACUGCUCAGUAACACGUGGACAACCUACCCUACAGAAGGGGAUAACCCCGGGAAACUGGGGAUAAUACCCUAUAGACUAUGGAUGCUGGAAUGCUCCGUAGUUGAAAGGUCCGCCGCUGUAGGAUGGGUCUGCGGCCGAUUAGGUUGUUGUUGGGGUAACGGCCCAACAAGCCUGUAAUCGGUACGGGUUGUGGGAGCAAGAGCCCGGAGAUGGAUUCUGAGACACGAAUCCAGGCCCUACGGGGCGCAGCAGGCGCGAAAACUUUACAAUGCGGGAAACCGUGAUAAGGGAACUCUGAGUGCCCGUAAAAUCGGGCUGUCCAUCAGUUUAAAUAACUGGUGAAGAAAGGGCCGGGCAAGACCGGUGCCAGCCGCCGCGGUAAUACCGGCGGCUCGAGUGGUGGCCACUAUUACUGGGCUUAAAGCGUUCGUAGCUGGUUUGUUAAGUCUCUGGGGAAAUCUUCCGGCUUAACCGGAAGGCGUCUCAGGGAUACUGGCAGACUAGGGACCGGAAGAGGUGAGAGGUACUCCAGGGGUAGGAGUGAAAUCCUGUAAUCCUUGGGGGACCACCUGUGGCGGAGGCGUCUCACCAGAACGGCUCCGACAGUGAGGGACGAAAGCUGGGGGAGCAAACCGGAUUAGAUACCCGGGUAGUCCCAGCCGUAAACGAUGUGCAUUAGGUGUAUCGGUGACCACGAGUCACCGAGGUGCCGAAGAGAAAUCGUGAAAUGCACCGCCU
rnacentral:rRNA from 1 species